rnacentral:lncRNA from 1 species
AUUACUGUGAAUGUCAUAGGUAGAUAUCAGUUGCAUCCAAGCUGAGAGUGCUGGACUGCUGUAAAAAUAUCCUUAAGCUCUUCAGAAGAACUAAGGAUAUAUUUUUAAUUUGGAGAAGGAUCAAAGCUAGGAGUGGGAGGACACAUUAAUUCAAAUUUUAUGUCUGAUAUUGAUGGUAGAAUAUCUACAUCAUGGGGUGUGCUCUUUUGUCGAUAUUUUGAAAAGAUUGUAAAUAAUCGAUCAAUGGAAGCUGAGUACAUUAUAGA